rnacentral:rRNA from 1 species
GAUGAACGCUGGCGGCGUGCCUAAUACAUGCAAGUCGAGCGAACAGACGAGGAGCUUGCUCCUCUGACGUUAGCGGCGGACGGGUGAGUAACACGUGGAUAACCUACCUAUAAGACUGGGAUAACUUCGGGAAACCGGAGCUAAUACCGGAUAAUAUAUUGAACCGCAUGGUUCAAUAGUGAAAGACGGUUUUGCUGUCACUUAUAGAUGGAUCCGCGCCGCAUUAGCUGGUUGGUAAGGUAACGACUUACCAAGGCGACGAUGCGUAGCCGACCUGUGAGGGUGAUCGGCCACACGGGAGCUGAGACACGCACCAGGCUCCUGCGGGAGGGAGCAGUAUGGAACCUGCCGCAGCGGGAGGAAGCCUGACGCAACAGCCCCGCGAGAGUGAUGAAGGUCUUCGGAUCGUAAAACUCUGUUACUAGAAAUGAACAACUGUGUACGUUGCUAAAGCCGUAUUGACGGUACCUAAUAAGAAAGCAACGGCUAACUACGUG